GAUAACUCUACGAAUUGCAUCUCAAGAAAAGGCUGUUAUCCCAGCUCUCUACUCCCAUUGGAUUUUUGUGAGACCUUGAGGGUGGGAGCUUUUGGCGGCAACCAAUCGAGGGUCAGCGAGGAGGAGGAGGAGGCGGGGCAGGUGGGCUAUGGUUGCUUGGAGAGUGCAUCCGGCCCGGUACUUGUGAUCGGAGGAGAGCCGGAUCGUCCUUCCUUGAACCCUCUGGGUAGGGCUGUGCUGAGGGGCUGGGCGGGGAGCACAGGCCGUGUCCGCUCGCUUGCACCUUUUCAGACUGCCGUGUCAGGCCUCGAGCCGGGCCCACCUGGAGCCCUCCCCUGCCCACCCGCCCCCAGCGCCCGAUAUCCGCCCCCGGCCCAGAAGGGCCGGGCUCGGUCAUCCCCAGUCCCGUCGCGGCCACUGACCCUUGAGAUCAGCCCUCCCCUCCCCACCUUCCCGUCCCAGGCCAGCCCAGGGCCCGAAGCCCACCCACUCGCGUCUCUAGCAGCCGCUCUUGUCCUCUGGGUACGGCUCGCGGGAGUGUUGGUUACCAUGGUGAAGCUGGCAGCCAAAUGCAUCCUGGCAGAUACUCGCUGAGCACCUACUACGUCAGAGUCACCGUGCAAGGUGCAGUGGGCCUGCAAGCAUGAGUCAGUUGCACUCAAGGAAGAACUAAGAUGCGUGUGAUACGUUCUAACACAGCGAACACAAAGUGAAUGCCCUUUGUGUGCCAGAUGCGGGGAAAUGCCUCCAGGCACAGCUGCUACUUGUUCUGGUUCUGGAGAAGAAAGAAAACAACAUUUGACAUUGAUCUGUAUUUUGUUUACUUUUAAAAAAACACUUAAAUAGUACUUAUAUAUGCCAGGCACUGUGCAUAUUAACUCAUUAAAUCCUCAUAACAAUUC
rnacentral:lncRNA from 10 species